UUGAGUCUGGGAUUUCUGAAUGGGGAAACCCACGUGCAUAAGCACGUAUCCUUACCUGAAUACAUAGGGUAAGGAGGCGAACCGGGGGAACUGAAACAUCUAAGUACCCCGAGGAAAAGAAAUCAACCGAGAUUCCGAAAGUAGCGGCGAGCGAAAUUGGACUAGCCCUUAAGCUUUACACGCGUUAGACGAACGGUCUGGAAAGUCCGACGAUACAGGGUGAUAGUCCCGUAGUUGACGACGUGUGUUCAGUGAAAUCGAGUAGGGCGGGACACGUGAUAUCCUGUCUGAAUAUGGGGGGACCAUCCUCCAAGGCUAAAUACUACUGACUGACCGAUAGUGAACCAGUACCGUGAGGGAAAGGCGAAAAGAACCCCUGUGAGGGGAGUGAAAUAGAACCUGAAACCGUGUACGUACAAGCAGUAGGAGCAGGCUUUGUCCUGUGACUGCGUACCUUUUGUAUAAUGGGUCAGCGACUUAUAUUCAGUGGCAAGGUUAACCAUCUAGGGGAGCCGUAGGGAAACCGAGUCUUAACUGGGCGUUCAGUCUCUGGAUAUAGACCCGAAACCAGGUGAUCUAGCCAUGGGCAGGUUGAAGGUUGAGUAACAUCAACUGGAGGACCGAACCGACUAAUGUUGAAAAAUUAGCGGAUGACUUGUGGCUAGGGGUGAAAGGCCAAUCAAACCUGGAGAUAGCUGGUUCUCCCCGAAAGCUAUUUAGGUAGCGCCUCGGACGAAUACUACUGGGGGUAGAGCACUGUUAAGGCUAGGGGGUCAUCCCGACUUACCAACCCUUUGCAAACUCCGAAUACCAGUAAGUACUAUCCGGGAGACACACGGCGGGUGCUAACGUCCGUCGUGGAGAGGGAAACAACCCAGACCGCCAGCUAAGGUCCCAAAUUACUACUAAGUGGGAAACGAUGUGGGAAGGCUCAGACAGCCAGGAUGUUGGCUUAGAAGCAGCCAUCAUUUAAAGAAAGCGUAAUAGCUCACUGGUCGAGUCGGCCUGCGCGGAAGAUGUAACGGGGCUAAGUAGUAAACCGAAGCUGCGGCAAUAUACUUUUGUAUAUUGGGUAGGGGAGCGUUCUGUAAGCGGUUGAAGGUGUGUGGUAACGCAUGCUGGACGUAUCAGAAGUGCGAAUGCUGACAUGAGUAACGAUAAAGGGGGUGAAAAACCUCCUCGCCGGAAGACCAAGGGUUCCUGUCCAACGUUAAUCGGGGCAGGGUAAGUCGACCCCUAAGGCGAGGCCGAAAGGCGUAGUCGAUGGGAAACGGGUUAAUAUUCCCGUACUUCUUACAAUUGCGAUGGGGGGACGGAGAAGGCUAGGUGGGCCUGGCGACGGUUGUCCAGGUUCAAGUGCGUAGGCUUAAGAGUUAGGUAAAUCCGGCUCUUUUUAAGGCUGAGACACGACGUCGAGCACCUACGGGUGUGAAGUCA
rnacentral:rRNA from 1 species